GCUUUUGGACUCAGAUCUGAGUUAGGCAGCAGAUAACUCCCUAAACUGGGUUCUCCCUUGAGACAUUCCCUAGUGGGACCGAGGGCCAGGUCCUCACUGGCUCUAAAUGGGUUUGGUUUCACUUACAGAAGGAGCUUACUUUGAUUUACAUCACUCGAGGAUCUUGCCUCAGAUGUACUGUUGCACCAAAUGAGGAGAACCUAGCCAGCUUUGCUUUGUCUCAGUUAUUACUGGGGAGAGAGGGCGGGGUGGUGAGUAGCAGCAGACAGGAGGGUGUGUAUUGAUCUCAACUGCAUUAGAAACGAGACAAGUUCAUCAAACUAUCUAAAGACAUUAUUACCGCUGACUGGGGGCUGAUGAUAGUCACACAGCCCAAGGCAUUAAUCUUUAACACAGAUGAAGGAAAGAAGCCUAGGUUACUACUCCGGCAUCCACAAAAUAUUUUAUUGUCACAAAAAAUGCAGGAAGUGCUCUGUGCAUCCUCUGCCAAUUUUGAUGAACUCUUAGGAGGCCAGUGAUGAUAGGCCUUUAGAAUAGCAGUGUGAGAGUGCACCCUGCAGUACAACGAAGCAAUGAAGGUAGCUGGUGAAUAUAUUUCCCUUUCCCUGGAAUACAUGACUGCAUCAGGAAACCUCUGCAGCAGCAUUAAUGUGUGUUCAAGGCACAAUGCAUCAGAGGUUCAUCUUCAGGGCUGGAUAUCCAGUCUUCAUCUGCUCUGCAUUCUUUCUGAUGAGAGAAGAGGACGCGCUUUAACAGUGAAAUGUACAGAACUUGGAGGCUUAUUUCCACAAGAUGCUUAG
rnacentral:lncRNA from 1 species